GACGAACGCUGGCGGCGUGCCUAAUACAUGCAAGUUGAGCGAUGAAGCUUGGUGCUUGCACCAAUUUGAAGAGCAGCGAACGGGUGAGUAACGCGUGGGGAAUCUGCCUUUGAGCGGGGGACAACAUUUGGAAACGAAUGCUAAUACCGCAUAAUACCUUUAAACAUAAGUUUUAAGUUUGAAAGAUGCAAUUGCAUCACUCAAAGAUGAUCCCGCGUUGUAUUAGCUAGUUGGUGAGGUAACGGCUCACCAAGGCGAUGAUACAUAGCCGACCUGAGAGGGUGGUCGGGCAAAAUGGGACUGAGACACGGCCCAAACUCCUACGGGAGGCAGCAGGAGGGAAUCUUCGGAAAUGGACGAAAGUCUGACCGAGCAACGACGGGGGAGGGAAGAAGGUUUUUGGAUCGGAAAACUCUGUUGGUAGAGAAGAACGUUGGUGAGAGUGGAAAGCUCAUCAAGUGACGGUAACUACACAGAAAGGGACGGCUAACUACGUG
rnacentral:rRNA from 1 species